AGCGAACAUUGGCGGUAGGCUUAACACAUGCAAGUCGAGCGAGGCGUAAUAGUCGAGCGGCGAACGGGUGCGUAAUACAUGGGAAUCUACCUCGAAGUGGGGGAUAACGUCCAGACAUGGACGCUAAUACCGCAUAAUCCAUAUCGGGAAAGCGUUGCAGCGCUUUGAGAUGAGCCCAUGGCUGAUUAGCUUGUUGGUGAGGUAACGGCUCACCAAGGCGACGAUCAGUAGCUGGUCUGAGAGGAUGACCAGCCACACUGGAACUGAGACACGGUCCAGACUCCUACGGGAGGCAGCAGUGGGGAAUCUUGCGCAAUGGGGGCAACCCUGACGCAGCCAUACCGCGUGAGUGAUGAAGGUCUUCGGAUUGUAAAGCUCUUUCGGCAGGGACGACGAUGACGGUACCUGCAAAAGAAGUCACGGCUAACUUCGUGCCAGCAGCCGCCGUAA
rnacentral:rRNA from 1 species